rnacentral:rRNA from 1 species
UACGUAGGGUGCGAGCGUUAAUCGGAAUUACUGGGCGUAAAGCGUGCGCAGGCGGUUUGCUAAGACCGAUGUGAAAUCCCCGGGCUCAACCUGGGAACUGCAUUGGUGACUGGCAGGCUAGAGUAUGGCAGAGGGGGGUAGAAUUCCACGUGUAGCAGUGAAAUGCGUAGAGAUGUGGAGGAAUACCGAUGGCGAAGGCAGCCUCCUGGGCCAACACUGACGCUCAUGCACGAAAGCGUGGGGAGCAAACAGG